GUGCUUGCUUCGGUAGCACACAUACUAAAAUUGGAAUGAUACAGAGAAGGUUAGCAUGGCCCCUGCGCAACGAUGACAUGCAAAUUCGUGAAGUGUUCCAUAUUUUU
rnacentral:snRNA from 1 species